AACACUGUUAACCUGCGGUACCUGCGGAAGGAUCAUUACAGAGUUCGUGCCCUCGCGGGUAGAUCUCCCACCCUUGUGUAUUUUCUACAUCUUGUUGCUUUGGCAGGCCGUUGGUUCGCCAACCACCGGCUCGCGGGCUGGUGCGUGCCUGCCAGAGGACCUCUCAAACUCGGUUUGUUAGUGUCGUCUGAGUACCAUAACAAUCGUUAAAACUUUUAACAAUGGAUCUCAGAUCGGAAG
rnacentral:misc_RNA from 1 species